rnacentral:rRNA from 1 species
UACGUAGGGUGCGAGCGUUAAUCGGAAUUACUGGGCGUAAAGCGUGCGCAGGCGGUUCGUUGUGUCGGCGGUGAAAGCCCCGGGCUCAACCUGGGAAUGGCCGUUGAAACUGGCGAACUGGAGUGUGGCAGAGGGGGGUGGAAUUCCGCGUGUAGCAGUGAAAUGCGUAGAGAUGUGGAGGAACACCAAUUGCGAAGGCAGCUCGCUGGGACGUUACUGACGCUGAGACGCGAAAGCGUGGGGAGCAAACAGG